rnacentral:misc_RNA from 1 species
CCUUUCUACGGAGAAUUCAGGGCACGGUUCGUGUCCGGUGUGUGCCCCAUGCGCGUGGAAUGGUUCCACGGUUUCGUGUGGGGAUGCUGGUGUGGAAGAGAUCGUCUGGCCUGCCGUCCCCCUGCGGGGUGGCGGGGGUGGUAUGGGUGUGCUUUUGGGUUCCCGGACCGCCACCCCACAGUCUUGGAUUGUGGUGCGGUUCGAUGCCCAUCAUGGGUGGCCUGGACGUCGUUCGGACGUCGGGUGACAGUGGUGGCGCGUGGUGGUUUGAGAACUGGAUAGUGGACGCGAGCAAGGGAAACCUGGUGUUUCUCUUUGCUUAUCGCGAUUUCGCCAAACUCUUCUUUUUCGAGUUUGGUUUCGAGAUCGAUCGUUUUGUGAUCAUUUUGAGUGUGAUGAUUUGUCGUCUGGCGAUCCUGCUAUCAGGAGACCCGCGGGCGGGGCGAUGGCCGUGGUGCCGUUG